UGUGGGAGCGGGCUUGCUCGCGAAUGCUGUGUGUCAGUUGCUGGUUCAUUGACUGACACACCGCAUUCGCGAGCAAGCCCGCUCCCACA
rnacentral:misc_RNA from 1 species